rnacentral:rRNA from 1 species
CCUACGGGAGGCAGCAGUGAGGAAUAUUGGUCAAUGGACGAGAGUCUGAACCAGCCAAGUAGCGUGAAGGAUGACUGCCCUAUGGGUUGUAAACUUCUUUUAUAUGGGAAUAAAAUGUUCAACGUGUGGGUUUUUGUUUGUACCAUAUUAAUAAGGAUCGGCUAACUCCGCGCCAGCAGCCGCGGUAAUACGGAGGAUCCGAGCGUUAUCCGGAUUUAUUGGGUGUAAAGGGAACGUAGGUGGAUUGUUAAGUCAGUUGUGAAAGGUUGUGGCUCAACCGUACAAUUGCAGUUGAAACUGGCAGUCUUGAGUACAGUAGAGGUGAGCGGAAUUCGUGGUGUAGCGGUGAAAUGCUUAGAUAUCACGAAGAACUCCGAUUGCGAAGGCAGCUCACUGGACUGCAACUGACACUGAGGCUCGAAAGUGUGGGUAUCAAACAGGAUUAGAUACCCUUGUAGUC